ensembl:lncRNA
CAGGACUGAAGUUGACAUAAAAGGCAAAGAACGGGGACAGAAACGUUCUGUGGCUUUGAUGAGGUGAUGUGCCUGCAGAGGUCAGAAGAUCCCACUGAGCUGGAGUUAAUGAAGUUUGAGAACUGGCCAACAUGGGAGCUAGGAACUGAACCCGGGUCCUCUGGAAGAACAACAAAUGCUCUUAAUUCCUGAGCCACCUUUACAGCCUCCAAAUACUCCUUUUUCAUGGUUUGCUGGAGUCCAGCUGACGGCUCCAACAAACCUACACGAUAUUGAUGUGUUCGCUCACAGUUCUUUAUCUAAGAAUGCCAAACCUGAGAGACUGCCUUGGACUUCUGUGGUAGGCGACAAGUCCUCUCUAAGAACAAGAGUGUUAGGAAGAAGGGAUGUGAACAUCACUCCCAAAACUCCAGGGAAAGUCGGACCAACAUGACAGUGAAAAUUAUAAAGCAAAAUGUACCGGAAAUGGAAGAACUUCCAGGCCCGCUGGUGGACACCUGUAAUCCCAAUGUCUGAGCUGCAAAGGGAGCAAGAGCUCAAGGAUCUCAAAUUUGAAGGCAGACUAGAUCAAAAAGAGGCUGAAAUAGAGUUCUUCCAGUAUCGACUCCAUUCUGCAGACAGAUCAGUACUAACUUCAUUCAACAGAUACAUGGAGACUCUGAAGUCCCUUUCAGUAAACAGCAUUCGUGAUAUAUACGCAAAAUCAAUCAGGCAUUUGGCCAAAAAGAAAAGCUCAACACACUGAAGCUGGAAGGAAGAAUGUGUAGUUGUUUCCAGUUUGUCUACUUUAAUCAUACAUAGAAAAAGAAAAGGUAUAAUGUAUGCUUUAACAUUUGCAAAUUUAUCAUAUAAAUCAGAAAGACUGAAAAAGGUAACAUCGCAUUCCGGAGAACACCCUGGAGUAGAACAAAAUGAACUGCACUCAAAGCGAACGCACAGCUUUCUUUAAAUAAACUAGGAAGAAUUAAUCGCAAUAAAAGAUGAAAAUAAGUACAUUAAAAAUAAAAAGCCAAAACAAAGCAGAAAGGAAAAAUUAAUUUAGAGACCAUUUUUCUUUUUUGAGACCAAUAAAGCAGAUAAACUCCCUAUGAACCCAAUUAAAGAGAGAAUGCACACACGCGAGGCACUUUUUAAAAAAUAAACAGGCUUAGAACUGAAGAAAUAGACUCGGAGAUCCAGGAGAGUUCCAAAGACUUACAAGGUAUGAGGCUUCCAGUUCAUUGGCUGCAAAUUGGAACACACAGAGGAAGUGAACAAUUUCCUAACAAAAUAUAAAUUACUUAAAUUGCCAAUCACUGAAGACAUCUGCAUGAUGAUUAAGAAUGAUUCUUGGAAAAAGGAACAAAGACCAGAUGGGUUUAAUCUUUAAAAAACAGAUGAUUCCAGUGUGAUUUAAAUAUUUCCAGGCCAUGGGGGAAAAAUAUCUCCUCAAGUCAUUGUGCAAAGACAGAUUAAUUUUGAUUCCAGAGUGUGAUGUGGACAUAAAAGAAUAUGUAAGAUCCAUCUCGCUUAAGAAUACAGACGUAAAAAAUUUUAACUAAGAUGCUAAAAAUAACAUGUUGUUGUAUCUUUGACUCAUAUCAGACACAUGGCCCUAGUCUAACUGAAGAUUUC